UGACCUCAAAUCAGGUAGGAGUACCCGCUGAACUUAAGCAUAUCAAUAAGCGGAGGAAAAGAAACCAACCGGGAUUGCCUCAGUAACGGCGAGUGAAGCGGCAAAAGCUCAAAUUUGAAAUCUGGCAGCAAUGUCCGAGUUGUAAUUUGAAGAGGGUGUUUUGGAGGCGGGUCUUGUCUAUGUCUGUUGGAACACAGCGUCACAGAGGGUGAGAAUCCCGUGCGAUGAGAACGCGUCUCCGUGUAAAGUGCCCUCGACGAGUCGAGUUGUUUGGGAAUGCAGCUCUAAGUGGGUGGUAAAUUCCAUCUAAAGCUAAAUAUUGGCGAGAGACCGAUAGCGAACAAGUACAGUGAUGGAAAGAUGAAAAGCACUUUGAAAAGAGAGUGAAAAAGUACGUGAAAUUGUUGAAAGGGAAGGGCUUGAGAUCAGCGUGGAGAGGAUUCAUUCUCUCUGGGCCAGCAUCGGUUUGCGGGGGGAGACACGGGGCACGAGCGGCGCUGUAUGGCGAAGCUCGGGCCAGAUAUCCCCACCACAGACCGAGGACUGCGAGCAAUCAAGGAUGCUGGCAUAAUGAUCUUCAGCCGC
rnacentral:rRNA from 1 species